rnacentral:rRNA from 1 species
UUAAGCGACUAAGCGUACACGGUGGAUGCCCUGGCAGUCAGAGGCGAUGAAGGACGUUCUAAUCUGCGAUAAGCGUCGGUAAGGUGAUAUGAACCGUUAUAACCGGCGAUUUCCGAAUGGGGAAACCCAGUGUGUUUCGACACACUAUCAUUAACUGAAUCCAUAGGUUAAUGAGGCGAACCGGGGGAACUGAAACAUCUAAGUACCCCGAGGAAAAGAAAUCAACCGAGAUUCCCCCAGUAGCGGCGAGCGAACGGGGAGGAGCCCAGAGCCUGAAUCAGUGUGUGUGUUAGUGGAAGCGUCUGGAAAGGCGCGCGAUACAGGGUGACAGCCCCGUACACAAAAAUGCACAUACUGUGAGCUCGAUGAGUAGGGCGGGACACGUGGUAUCCUGUCUGAAUAUGGGGGGACCAUCCUCCAAGGCUAAAUACUCCUGACUGACCGAUAGUGAACCAGUACCGUGAGGGAAAGGCGAAAAGAACCCCGGCGAGGGGAGUGAAAAAGAACCUGAAACCGUGUACGUACAAGCAGUGGGAGCACGCUUAGGCGUGUGACUGCGUACCUUUUGUAUAAUGGGUCAGCGACUUAUAUUCUGUAGCAAGGUUAACCGAAUAGGGGAGCCGAAGGGAAACCGAGUCUUAACUGGGCGUUAAGUUGCAGGGUAUAGACCCGAAACCCGGUGAUCUAGCCAUGGGCAGGUUGAAGGUUGGGUAACACUAACUGGAGGACCGAACCGACUAAUGUUGAAAAAUUAGCGGAUGACUUGUGGCUGGGGGUGAAAGGCCAAUCAAACCGGGAGAUAGCUGGUUCUCCCCGAAAGCUAUUUAGGUAGCGCCUCGUGAACUCAUCUCCGGGGGUAGAGCACUGUUUCGGCAAGGGGGUCAUCCCGACUUACCAACCCGAUGCAAACUGCGAAUACCGGAGAAUGUUAUCACGGGAGACACACGGCGGGUGCUAACGUCCGUCGUGAAGAGGGAAACAACCCAGACCGCCAGCUAAGGUCCCAAAGUCAUGGUUAAGUGGGAAACGAUGUGGGAAGGCCCAGACAGCCAGGAUGUUGGCUUAGAAGCAGCCAUCAUUUAAAGAAAGCGUAAUAGCUCACUGGUCGAGUCGGCCUGCGCGGAAGAUGUAACGGGGCUAAACCAUGCACCGAAGCUGCGGCAGCGACGCUGAUGCGUUGUUGGGUAGGGGAGCGUUCUGUAAGCCUGUGAAGGUGUGCUGUGAGGCAUGCUGGAGGUAUCAGAAGUGCGAAUGCUGACAUAAGUAACGAUAAAGCGGGUGAAAAGCCCGCUCGCCGGAAGACCAAGGGUUCCUGUCCAACGUUAAUCGGGGCAGGGUGAGUCGACCCCUAAGGCGAGGCCGAAAGGCGUAGUCGAUGGGAAACAGGUUAAUAUUCCUGUACUUGGUGUUACUGCGAAGGGGGGACGGAGAAGGCUAUGUUGGCCGGGCGACGGUUGUCCCGGUUUAAGCGUGUAGGCUGGUUUUCCAGGCAAAUCCGGAAAAUCAAGGCUGAGGCGUGAUGACGAGGCACUACGGUGCUGAAGCAACAAAUGCCCUGCUUCCAGGAAAAGCCUCUAAGCAUCAGGUAACAUCAAAUCGUACCCCAAACCGACACAGGUGGUCAGGUAGAGAAUACCAAGGCGCUUGAGAGAACUCGGGUGAAGGAACUAGGCAAAAUGGUGCCGUAACUUCGGGAGAAGGCACGCUGAUAUGUAGGUGAAGUCCCUCGCGGAUGGAGCUGAAAUCAGUCGAAGAUACCAGCUGGCUGCAACUGUUUAUUAAAAACACAGCACUGUGCAAACACGAAAGUGGACGUAUACGGUGUGACGCCUGCCCGGUGCCGGAAGGUUAAUUGAUGGGGUCAGCGCAAGCGAAGCUCUUGAUCGAAGCCCCGGUAAACGGCGGCCGUAACUAUAACGGUCCUAAGGUAGCGAAAUUCCUUGUCGGGUAAGUUCCGACCUGCACGAAUGGCGUAAUGAUGGCCAGGCUGUCUCCACCCGAGACUCAGUGAAAUUGAACUCGCUGUGAAGAUGCAGUGUACCCGCGGCAAGACGGAAAGACCCCGUGAACCUUUACUAUAGCUUGACACUGAACAUUGAGCCUUGAUGUGUAGGAUAGGUGGGAGGCUUAGAAGUGUGGACGCCAGUCUGCAUGGAGCCGACCUUGAAAUACCACCCUUUAAUGUUUGAUGUUCUAACGUUGACCCGUAAUCCGGGUUGCGGACAGUGUCUGGUGGGUAGUUUGACUGGGGCGGUCUCCUCCUAAAGAGUAACGGAGGAGCACGAAGGUUGGCUAAUCCUGGUCGGACAUCAGGAGGUUAGUGCAAUGGCAUAAGCCAGCUUGACUGCGAGCGUGACGGCGCGAGCAGGUGCGAAAGCAGGUCAUAGUGAUCCGGUGGUUCUGAAUGGAAGGGCCAUCGCUCAACGGAUAAAAGGUACUCCGGGGAUAACAGGCUGAUACCGCCCAAGAGUUCAUAUCGACGGCGGUGUUUGGCACCUCGAUGUCGGCUCAUCACAUCCUGGGGCUGAAGUAGGUCCCAAGGGUAUGGCUGUUCGCCAUUUAAAGUGGUACGCGAGCUGGGUUUAGAACGUCGUGAGACAGUUCGGUCCCUAUCUGCCGUGGGCGCUGGAGAACUGAGGGGGGCUGCUCCUAGUACGAGAGGACCGGAGUGGACGCAUCACUGGUGUUCGGGUUGUCAUGCCAAUGGCACUGCCCGGUAGCUAAAUGCGGAAGAGAUAAGUGCUGAAAGCAUCUAAGCACGAAACUUGCCCCGAGAUGAGUUCUCCCUGACCCUUUAAGGGUCCUGAAGGAACGUUGAAGACGACGACGUUGAUAGGCCGGGUGUGUAAGCGCAGCGAUGCGUUGAGCUAACCGGUACUAAUGAACCGUGAGGCUUAACCUU